rnacentral:rRNA from 1 species
UACUCCUACGGGAGGCAGCAGUGGGGAAUAUUGGACAAUGGGCGCAAGCCUGAUCCAGCCAUGCCGCGUGGGUGAAGAAGGCCUUCGGGUUGUAAAGCCCUUUUGUUGGGAAAGAAAAGCAGUCGGUUAAUACCCGAUUGUUCUGACGGUACCCAAAGAAUAAGCACCGGCUAACUUCGUGCCAGCAGCCGCGGUAAUACGAAGGGUGCAAGCGUUACUCGGAAUUACUGGGCGUAAAGCGUGCGUAGGUGGUUUGUUAAGUCUGAUGUGAAAGCCCUGGGCUCAACCUGGGAAUUGCAUUGGAUACUGGCAGGCUAGAGUGCGGUAGAGGGUAGUGGAAUUCCCGGUGUAGCAGUGAAAUGCGUAGAGAUCGGGAGGAACAUCCGUGGCGAAGGCGACUACCUGGACCAGCACUGACACUGAGGCACGAAAGCGUGGGGAGCAAACAGGAUUAGAUACCCUGGUAGUCCACGCCCUAAACGAUGCGAACUGGAUGUUGGGUUCAAUUAGGAACUCAGUAUCGAAGCUAACGCGUUAAGUUCGCCGCCUGGGGAGUACGGUCGCAAGACUGAAACUCAAAGGAAUUGACGGGGGCCCCCACAAGCGGUGGAGCAUGUGGA